GAUGAACGCUGGCGGCGUGCCUAAUACAUGCAAGUCGAGCGAACAGACGAGGAGCUUGCUCCUUUGACGUUAGCGGCGGACGGGUGAGUAACACGUGGAUAACCUACUUAUAAGACUGGGAUAACUUCGGGAAACCGGAGCUAAUACCGGAUAAUAUAUCCUACCGCAUGGUUCAAUAGUGAAAGACGGUUUUGCUGUUACUUUUAGAUGGUUCCGCGCCGCAUUAGCUAGUUGGUAAGGUAACGGCUUACCAAGGCGACGAUGCGUAGCCGACCUGAGAGGAUGAUCAGCCACACUGGAACUGAGACACGGUCCAGACUCCUACGGGAGGCAGCAGUAGGGAAUCUUCCACAAUGGGCGAAAGCCUGACGGAGCAACGCCGCGUGAGUGAUGAAGGUCUUCGGAUCGUAAAGCUCUGUUAUUGGGGAAGAACAAAUGUGUAUGUAACUAUGCACGUCUUGACGGUACCUAAUCAGAAAGCCACGGCUAACUACGUG
rnacentral:rRNA from 1 species